rnacentral:lncRNA from 1 species
CUAGUGGAAGCAAUAGGAAGUGCCAAAAUAUUCCUAAACCCCUGUGUUUUUCAAUGGGAUAGGUUUAAAGGUAAUACAACACAUCAGGUAUCCACUUCCUGUCAGAAAAUGUCUCGGGGUUUUGCCUGCCAAAUGAGUUCUGUUAUACUCACAGACACCAUUCAAACAGUUUUGGAAACUUUAGAGUGUUUUCUAUCCAUAUAUAAUAAGUAUAUGCAUAUUCUAGUUACUGGGUAGGAUUAGUAACCAGAUUAAAUCGGGUACAUUUUUUUUAUCCAGACGUGCAAAUGCUGCCCCCUAGAC